rnacentral:misc_RNA from 1 species
GCUCCGUUGGUGAACCAGCGGAGGGAUCAUUACCGAGUUUACAACUCCCAAACCCAAUGUGAACCAUACCAAACUGUUGCCUCGGCGGGGUCACGCCCCGGGUGCGUCGCAGCCCCGGAACCAGGCGCCCGCCGGAGGGACCAACCAAACUCUUUUCUGUAGUCCCCUCGCGGACGUUAUUUCUUACAGCUCUGAGCAAAAAUUCAAAAUGAAUCAAAACUUUCAACAACGGAUCUCUUGGUUCUG